rnacentral:rRNA from 1 species
AGUGAACGCUGGCGGUAGGCCUAACACAUGCAAGUCGAACGGCAGCACAGUAAGAGCUUGCUCUUACGGGUGGCGAGUGGCGGACGGGUGAGGAAUACAUCGGAAUCUACUUUUUCGUGGGGGAUAACGUAGGGAAACUUACGCUAAUACCGCAUACGACCUACGGGUGAAAGCAGGGGAUCUUCGGACCUUGCGCGAUUGAAUGAGCCGAUGUCGGAUUAGCUAGUUGGCGGGGUAAAGGCCCACCAAGGCGACGAUCCGUAGCUGGUCUGAGAGGAUGAUCAGCCACACUGGAACUGAGACACGGUCCAGACUCCUACGGGAGGCAGCAGUAGGGAAUAUUGGGCAAUGGGCGCAAGCCUGAUCCAGCAAUACCGCGUGGGUGAAGAAGGCCUUCGGGUUGUAAAGCCCUUUUGUUGGGAAAGAAAAGCAGCAGGUUAAUACCCCGCUGUUCUGACGGUACCCAAAGAAUAAGCACCGGCUAACUUCGUG